UACAGCCACAUCAUGGUGAAACACUGGCUCCUGUAUGAUCACCAAAGUUAAGCAAUGUCAAGCUUGGUCAGUACCUAGAUGGGUGACUGCUUGGGAAUACCAGCUGCU